GAACUGCAGAUAGUACAGCUUCCACAGGAGCAAGGGAUGUCUGAGCACAAGUGGCUGAGUUCCGAGUGACUUUAUGAAGCACUUUCUACCUUCCUCUCCGGCAUGAAAACAGGGAUUCUGCACCUGCAUCAUGGACAGUCUGGCAAAAGCCUCUGCUCUGCCUCCGGGGACAAGAAACUAGAGCAAAUAACCGUUUUGAAAUUAGAUCCUGGCAAAAUUACCAACAAUCAAUGAUGGAAACUGAAGGGAGAUUGAUUUAAAUCUUCAAUGACAGUUGUACAGAAGUUGAAGAAACACGUCAUCUUUCCAAAGAAGAGUGAGUAGCUUGGUUGGUGGUACCCUAAAAUUAGGGCAUGAUUAAGAUACUUACAGAUACUGUAAAGUGAGUAGAAUUCUGAGUUUUGAGGUUGCUUCAGUGAACAUUCAACGCUGUCGGUGAGUUUGGAAUUAAAAUCAAAACCAUCGACCGUUGAUUGUACCCUAUGGCUAACCAUCAUCUACUCCAUGGUGCUCAGAAUUCGCUGAAGACAGGAAACCAAAGGUGGACACACCAGGACUUUCUCUUCCCUGUGCAGAGAUUAUUUUUUAAAAGGUCACAAUCAACAUUCAUUGCUGUCGGUGGGUUGAACUGUGUGGACAAGCUCACUGAACAAUGAAUGCAACUGUGGCCCCGCUUUUUGCUGUCACAAUCAACAGAUAUUCCAUCUUUGAAAGAUGUGUUCAAAAUAGUACUAUUGUUCUUUAAGUUUUCCAAUUCGUCAGCAUCUUCUGGUUUAUUUAUUCAAUUUAUAUCAUGUGAUGAGAUUUCAAUGAAAAAGACUCUGGUUUAAACAAGAAUAAUGCUUCUCUAUCUUUUGUAUGCUAUAAACAGAGCAUGUUUUAGAAAAGGCAAAACUAUUUUGUCCAUCAAACGUACAGUAUCAUCAUCUAGGUUAGCUCACCUUCCUACUGUUGUAGUGUGAGUGAAAAAAAGACAUAAAGUAGGACCUCAGCACCCAUGCCAUUGACAAUAACACACUUACAAAUAUGUGUUCUUUACAACUUUUGUUAGAUGUUCUGGUCAAAGUGGGAUAGAAACACCAGAUAAUUUUAGCUUUCUGCUUCUCUGGGUGAGGAUUUGCUCAUAUAAUUCUGCCUCUUGCUAUGUAACAUGCUAAAUACGAAGAAAAUAAUAUAUACAUAACUAUAUAACUAUCAGAACACUCAUGACAGUCAUAUAGUAGAUUGAUUUUCCCAAUUCAAUUUCCACUUUAAAACUUUACCCACUUUCUAUGUGCAUGAACUGCGUGGUUAGACUUACAGUCAUGGCCCAUUAAUUGCCUCAUGUUUACUCAUCUGACUUUGCAAGUAAAAGCCUAUGCAUAUCAUGGUUUUUCUUAAGUGGUUUGCCUCUGCAUUUUUAUAUAGGACAUCUGUCAUUAAAUUUGAUCACAGCAGUUUUAAGUUUACCAUUUGUAAUGAUAAUAAUUAUAUAGCAAAAUAAAAUGCUUUCUCAAGUGUCUAUGUUUGGAGUACCUGGAUGGCUUCAAUGUUCAUUUUUUUUUAAUGGUCAAAUAAAUUAUCCUUUCUUUUCCUUGAUCUUUUAAAUCCCAUUUGCCUUUAACUCCCAUUACAGAAACCCAUUGCUGGGACCCGGCUCUUGACCUCAUCAUAACCUUAAAAUAUUUUACCACAUUCGAUAUCUAAUAUCCCACUCUGUCUAUCACUUCUUACCAUUCUAGUUUCUCAUUCUCUUAUCUCCAAGGCAACUGUCCUUUCAAUAUCAGUGUUGCUGAAAAAUAAAAUCACAUCAUCAUAUGGACACAUUAAUACACAUACUCAGGGGCCUCCAAGUGCCUCAGUCCCUCAACUCUGACCCAGCAUUUCUUCUACUCCACUCCCUCAUGUUUAGCCUAAAUGUUUACCUCUUUCCUCAACUGCUCCUUUCCACGAUUCCACUCUCAACAGAUGAACUGACUUCUGUUUUUCAUUGAGAAGCUUGAGUCCAUGUGAUUAUUCCCUCCACUUCCUUGUUUAUAGCCUAUGAAUGCGUAGGAUUCUGCCCUGAGUUGUCUCACGUGAGCCUCCUGCCUUGCUUGGGACAUCUCUUCCCCUGUGAUAUCCCCCUCCUCUCUCACCAUCUGGCUCCAUUUCACAUGUAACAAGGUUCAGUUUUCUCUCUUCUCAAAUAGAAAACAAAAGAAAUUUGAGAAAAACUUCUCUAUACUUGCUUUAUCCUCAAGUUACUUACCCCACUUCUUUUCUUCUUUUUAAAAGCUAAGAUUUUAGAAAUAGUACAUAGUAGCCUGCAGCACUGUCUAUAUUUGUUUACUUCCCAUUUCACCUCAACUAUAUGUAAUUUGGCAUCUUCUACCAUUUCUCUCUCCCACUUGUGCAUAACAUCAUUCUAAUGACACUGCUUUUCCCCAAAUCACCAGUGAGCUCCAUAUUGCCAAAUACAAAUCAAACUUUUCUGCCAGUUGUCCUACUCGAACUCCCCUUGAUGCCUGACACAGCUGACCACUUCUUCCUAAACUCCAGUCCCCAUUCACUUUUGUGAUCCUACUCUCAUUUGGAUUUCUCUCUUUAUUACAGUGAUGUCCUAUUUAUUUAUUUAUUUUUAAGAAGCUCUUCAUCUGCUUGAACUCCCAAUGCCAGUAUCCUUCUGAGACCCAUUCUUAACUUUAUGGCUUUUUUUCUCUUCUCUUGUCUCACAAUCUUUGAAGGAAUCUCAGGCACGUGAAUGAUGUUUACAUCUGCUCAGAUGCUGCAGAUACCCAAGUCUUUAUCUCCAGCUUACACAUCCCAAAGCUACAUAUCUGUCUUCUGCUCUUCUCACAGACCAAAGCCCAUCCAUGACUACAGAUAACGUAUCAUCUUUUUCCCAAGGGAUAACACUCUUGAUCUACUUGGAAACCAAAGCCAUAAAUCUCAAUUCAUUUCAUGUUCCUGGACCUUGCUUCCUCUCCUUUUCUAAACAUACAAUCGCACAGUCCUGAAGAUGUUCACUUUUUAUCUUGCUAAUAUUUCAAUUAUUCUGUAUACUUCUACUGAACUUUAGUCCAGAAACGCACACCUCUUACUUGGACUAUUCCAAUGGUCUCCUAACUCCCACCAUCAGCCAUCCAUCUGUUCAAUAUUUUCUUCACAGUAUUUUAAAAAGUGAUUUUAAAAAUGUAAUCAUAUUGUGAAACCGUUUAAUCCACUUGGAAUAAAAUGUUUAAUAGAUGGAUCGUUCUGGCGGGAAAAGCAUUGUGAAUAUUAGCUAAAUGAGAAAAAGAUAAUAUCUGGAACUUCGUACAAGUUCUCAAGCUUAAUUUCAGUAUAUUAAUGAAUUAAAUGUAAUUUCUGAAAAUUUUCUAAAAUAAACGUAGUUGAAAAUUUAAUAUCCUUGAAAUGAUGAAGAACAUUUUCAAUUUUAACACAAACGAGGCAAAAAGAAAAGACAAGCAUGACUUUGACUACAUUGAACUUCAAACUAUAACGUGUCAAAAAUAACCAUAUAAUGAAAAGGCAGAUAGCCAAAUGAAAAUGAAUAUGAACAAUAAGAAAGAAAAAAGAUUAAUACACUUAAUAUAUGACAUUUUUAAUAUACAAAAAGGAGUAAGAAAAAAUUAACAACUAAAGAGACAAAUGAACAGUGGACAUGAACAGAGCGGUCACAGAUGUAAAGCAAAUGAGUGAGACCUACAUGAUGUAAAAUUCUGCUUCACUUAUGAAAAUUCAAAUUAAAACCAUGAGAUGUAAUAUUUCUUUAGUAAAGCUAACUGAUGAAGAAAAUUUAGUGAUGGUGACAUGAAUGUUCUCAUGCUAUACUGGAUUGUCUUUGGUUUCUGCUGAAACUUCUGGGCUUGAUUUUUCCAUUUCCAUUACUUUAUUUUUUGAACAUGGAAACACACCCUUCCAGCUAUGGCAAAUUAGAUCAGAAGUACACACCUGUGCCAAAGGGACUCAAUCCAUCCAUUUGACUGAAACUUUUAUAUUUUCAUUCUUAUGAAUUUGAAUUAAGAUAAACAUAAAUCCUUCAGGAGUAGAAGGUGUGUACAAAAUGUAUAAUUUCAUGAAGCUUUGGAAUAGAUUAACAUUUUUCUUUGUUUAUAUAUAAAAAAAGUAAAUAAAAGAUGGAAGUUGGUUAGUGAAAAGCAGCUACAAGAAAUAGACAUGAGAUUUUUGCAGUUCCCUGAGAGACGGAUGAAAAAUCUUUAGUCCAAAAAGCUCCAGGUCCAGAAACCAUUUUCCCAGCCAUCUUUGCUCUGCUUUUUUUUUUUUUUUUUUUUUGAUGGCUGUUUUCAGUGUCUAUAAUAAUUUUAAUGGCUUAAAAUAAGUCCUAUUUUAUUUAGCUAAGGAUGGUUUCUGUUCAUUGCCUUCAGAACUAUACAAUGCUCAUGAGAGUAUGAUCUGAUUUAAAUGUUAUGGAAAUAAUUUUAUCAAUAAUUUAACAAUGCUUGUAAACUUUUAUCCAAUAAUUGUGUUUUUAGAAUUCUCAUUUACCUAUGUAUUUAUUUUUAAUAGACUAAUACUAAUUAUAUAUGUUUAUGGGAUACAAUGUGAUUUUUUUGUUUUAGUUUUUGUUUUAUGUUUUUUGUUUUUUGUUUUGAGACUGAGUUUCGCUCUUGUCUCCCAGGCUGGAGUGCAACGGUGCAAUCUCAGCCCACUGCAACUUCCACCUCCCAGAUUCAAGUGAUUCUUCUGCCUCAGCCUCCCAAGUAGCUGAGAUUACAGGCACGUGCCACCACACCUGGCUAAUUUUUUGUAUUUUUAGUAGAGACAAGGUUUCGCCGCGUUGGCCAGGUUGGUCUUGAACUCCACAAUGUGAUAUUUUGAUCUACAAACAUAUUGUAGAAAAAUUACAUCAAAGUAAUUAACAUAUCUAACACCUCAAGAAUUUAUCAUUUUUUGAUGGUGAGAAUGUUAACAAUCUGUUCUUUUUGGCAAUUUUGAAAUAUACAACACAUUAUUAUUAACUGUGGUCUCCAUGCGAUACGAUAGGAUCACUAAAACUUAUUCCUGUAGUCUAAGUAAAGCUUUGUAAACUUUAAUAAACAUCUCUCCUAUCACUAUUCCUCUCCCAUUCUCCCAACCUCCAGUAACCACAUUUUUAUUCUGUUUCUAUGAAAUUAAAUUGUUUAGAUUCCACAUGUGUAUAAGAUCAUAAGUAUUUAUCUUUCUGUGCCUCCCUUAUUUCAGUUAGCAUAAUGUCCCCCAGUUUCACAUAGGUUGUCAGGAAUAGCAGAAUUUCCUUCCUUUUUAAGGAUGAAUAAUUUUCCAUUGUUUAUAUAUUCCACAUUUAUUUUAAUCCAUUCGUCUAUUGAACACUUAAGUUGCUGCCAUAUCUUAGUUAUUGGGAAUAAAGUUGGAGUGAACAUGAGAUUGUCGAUGUCUGUUUGAUGUACCAAUUUUCAAUUCCUUCAGAUAUAUACCCAAAACUGAGAUUGCUGGAUCAUACGGUAAUUCUCUUUUUAGUAUUUUGAGGAACCUCUCUACUAUUUUCCAAAAUGGCUAUACUAAUUAUUUACAUUCCCCUCAACAGUAUACAAGGGCUCUCUUUUUCUCCACAUCCUCACCAACACUUCUCAUUUGUUUUUUUGACAAUGGUCAUUCUAACAGGUGUGACGUGAUACCUUAAUGUAGUUUAAACUUGCAUUUACCUUAUGAUAAGAGGUGUUGAGGCCGGGUGCAAUGGCUCACACCUGUAAUCCCAGCACUUUGGGAGGCCAAGGCGGGCAGAUCAUGAAGUCAAGAGAUCGUGACCAUCCUGGCCAACAUGGUGAAACCCUGUCUUUACUAAAAAUACAAAAAUUAGAUGGGCAUGGUGGCACAUGCCUGUAGUCCCAGUUACUCAGGAGGCUGAGGCAGGAGAAUCACUUGAACCCAGGAGGCAGAGGUUGCAGUGAGCUGAGAUCACACUACUGCACUCCAGUCUGAUGAUAGAGUGAGACUCUGUAAAAAAAAAAAAAAAAAAAAAAAAAAAAAGGUGUGAAUGUUGGCCAUGUGUGUAUCUUCUUUUGGUAAAUGUUUGUUCAGAUCCUUUACCCAUUUUUAAUUAGGUUUUUUUCUUUUCUUGCUAUUGAAUUGUUUAAAUUGGAAUGCCUUACAUGUUAUGGAUCUUAACCUGUUACCAGAUAUAUAGUUUGGAAAUACUCUCUUCCAGUCCAUGGAUGAGAAUAUAUAUAUAUAUAUAUAUAUACACACACACACAUUAUUAUAUAUCUAUAUAUCACUUAUGUGUCUCUUCACUCUCAUAAUUGUUUUCUUUGCUCUGCAGAAACAACUUAGUUUAAUGCCAUCCCACUUGUCUAUUUUUGUUUUUGUUGUUUUUGCUUUUGGGGUAAUAGCCAAGAAGUCGUUGCUCAGACCAAUGUUAUGGAGAUUUUUCUCUCUGUUUUCUUCUAAAAGUUCUAGUUUCAGGUCUUAUAUUUCAAGUCCUUUAUCCAUUUUGGGUUGAUGUGAGUGUGUGGUAUAAGAUAAGGGUCCAAUUUUAUUCUUCUGCAAGUGGCUAUCCAGUUUUCCCAACACCAUUUGUUGAAGUAGUUGUCUUUCCCCCAUUGUGUGUUCUUGGCACCUUUGUCAACAAUCAGUUGACCAUAAGUAGUUGGGUUUAUUACUGGGCUUUCUUGUUUCUUUGGUUGAUGUGUCUGUUUUAGGCCAGUACGAUGCUGUUUUUGAUUGCAAUAGUUUUAUGAAAUCUUUUGAAAUUAGGAAGUGUGAUGUUUUAAAAUGUAUUUAUGUAUGUAUGUAUGAAGAGAUUCAAAGCAGCAUUAUUUUAAAACUUUUAAUAAUAGCAAGCUAAAUGUUCAAAAACGAGGAGCGGGAAAAUGAAUUAUGACAUGUAUGAUGGAAAAUAAUAAUAACUGUAUUUUAAUUAAAAAUCAUGCUUAUAUUUAAGUAUAAAUUUUUCAGAACUCAGAUAGAGAGUUAAAUUCCAACUUACUAGAAGAGUAAUCAUGGAGAAAUUAAUUUUCCUAAGCUUAAAUUUGUUCAACUAUAUAAUUUGUAUAAUAUUCCCUACCUGAACAUUGUUGCUUUCAGGAUAAAUGAAAUAAUCCAUACAAUGACUUUAGCAUAGUGCCUGAUGUUUAGUAAAUAUUUAGUAGUAGUAGUAGACUCUAUUCCUGUGCAUGAUCAUACCGCUAUACAUAACAAGUUAUGUUUUUUUCUUUAACUCUUAGUGCUGGAAUUUUGACCAUUUUCUAUCAUAUUCAUUAUAUCUUCUACAUUUCUGAGAUAAAAACGUGUUACUUAUACUCUUUUUAAUAAUAGUAAGCUACUAAAUGAUUUUAUUUUAAAAAUAUCUUUAUCAUUAAAUUCCAAAUGUAUUUGUUUAUUGAACUAAAAGCCCUCCAAAGUGCUAGAACUCUAAUACCUACUAGUCACAGGGCAUUGAUGACAGCAUUUAAAAUUAUUAAAUGUUAUAAAGCACGCAUUUAUUUAAACAUAAACAACACACACACAGAGAAUGAUACAAUGCUUUAUAAAAGCGCUUUAUUUAACUUUAUUCUCAUUCUAAAUCUGAAGAUAAACUCAGGUCCAAAAUUUUAAGGUAAAUAAGCAUAAGUAACAAUGAGUUAGUUUGAAAGAUUAAGUCAAUUAUGUACUCUUAUCUUUUAUAUUUCCUCUGAAGGAAUUUGAGUGCUUGACAGUUAAAUGAUAUAAAGUUCAUUGAUGAAAAUUCCAUUUAAUAGUAUACUUUUCAUGUACAUGGACUGGAAUUCAUAACAUAAAAUAUUAAAAUGUUUAAUUGACUACUCAUUUGGCUUUGAAUGUUGCUUUUGAUUUUUCAUAACAUAACAUAAUCAUUAAUAAUAUAAUGAUUAUUAUUUCUGUAACUUGAUCAGUUACAAACUUUACCAGUUUUUUAAUGAAAAAUAAUAAGAAUCAAGUCAUAACUCACAUGCUAGGAUGUGCUUUUAAGUAAUAAUGGGCAGUCAUUGCCCAAUGGUAGCAUCAAGAUAUCUUAAGAAAGGUGUAUAAAAAAUUAAAAUGUAUUUCAAAUAUUUAAAGGAAUUAUUAUAAGUGGGUAUCUUUUAUCAAUAAUCUUUCUUUUCCAGAUAGUUUGAAAAGAAGAGAGAGUCUAAUUUUCAUUUGUGAUUUCCUUUCAUGACCAGUCAUUACAAAACUUUAGUUUAGUUAAAAAUUUCUCUUGAUUUUUGUCUAGAUUUUGCCUUUUUGAGAAAAUUUUAUUUUCAAGUUUUCUCCCUUUUUUUGUUUUGUUUUAAGCUGACAACAUACGCCUCUUUACUGUUUUAAAAGACU
rnacentral:lncRNA from 1 species